rnacentral:rRNA from 1 species
UUGAACGCUGGCGGAAUGCUUUACACAUGCAAGUCGAGCGGCAGCGCGGGGGCAACCCUGGCGGCGAGCGGCGAACGGGUGAGUAACAUAUCGGAACGUACCCUGUCGUGGGGGAUAACACAGCGAAAGCUGUGCUAAUACCGCAUACGACCUGAGGGUGAAAGCGGGGGAUCGCAAGACCUCGCGCGAUAGGAGCGGCCGAUAUCGGAUUAGCUAGUUGGUGGGGUAAAGGCCUACCAAGGCGACGAUCCGUAGCGGGUCUGAGAGGAUGAUCCGCCACACUGGGACUGAGACACGGCCCAGACUCCUACGGGAGGCAGCAGUGGGGAAUUUUGGACAAUGGGGGCAACCCUGAUCCAGCCAUGCCGCGUGAGUGAAGAAGGCCUUCGGGUUGUAAAGCUCUUUCAGACGGAAAGAAAACGCAUCGGUGAAUACCCGGUGUGGAUGACGGUACCGUAAGAAGAAGCACCGGCUAACUACGU